UAAUAGUUAAGAAUAGUUAAGUUCAGUUACCACCCCCACCCCCCACCCCCCACUCAGAGAGAGGAUUUCCAUUCAUUUAGCAGCUCUUGACCAAAUUAUUUGUGAAUUCAAAGAAUUUUCAUUUUUUCUUAGAUUUCUAAAUUUUAACUCUUUGAGUGAUAGAGCCCCAAAUUAAAUUCAUAUCAAAAAGUACUUACUGCAUACUUGUCAAGCAGGGUGCUGGGUGAGUGCUCAGCGUUGGCCU
rnacentral:lncRNA from 1 species